CCCACAUCUUUCUCUCUACACCAAGAAGAAGAAGAAGAAGAAGAAGAAGAGAUCUCACAACACACACGCACCGCGUCGUCUUGCGUCAUUCAACCACAUGGACGUGAAGUGUAUUUCGCCCACCGACGCAGUCUGCGAAGGCGGUGACGUGAAAGCAGCUGUGCUCGCUGCGGCGGCAUCAUCAUCAUCAUCAUCAUCAUCUUCCCCGGUCGGCCCGCACACAACAACCCGUUUCCAUCCCUGCUCGGCAUUCAGAGGAAGAAGAAGAAGAAGAAGAAAAAAAAAACAAGAGGGAGACAACUGAGUGUGAGCCGAGACGUUGGAUGGGUGAAGAAGCCCUACCCUUGUCAA